rnacentral:tRNA from 1 species
GCCAAAGUGGCGGAACUGGCAGACGCGCUGCGUUCAGGGCGCAGUUCCCGCAAGGGAGUGGGGGUUCGAAUCCCCCCUUUGGCACCA